rnacentral:rRNA from 1 species
GGGAGCUUGCUCCCUGAUGUUAGCGGCGGACGGGUGAGUAACACGUGGGUAACCUGCCUGUAAGACUGGGAUAACUCCGGGAAACCGGGGCUAAUACCGGAUGCUUGUUUGAACCGCAUGGUUCAAACAUAAAAGGUGGCUUCGGCUACCACUUACAGAUGGACCCGCGGCGCAUUAGCUAGUUGGUGAGGUAAUGGCUCACCAAGGCAACGAUGCGUAGCCGACCUGAGAGGGUGAUCGGCCACACUGGGACUGAGACACGGCCCAGACUCCUACGGGAGGCAGCAGUAGGGAAUCUUCCGCAAUGGACGAAAGUCUGACGGAGCAACGCCGCGUGAGUGAUGAAGGUUUUCGGAUCGUAAAGCUCUGUUGUUAGGGAAGAACAAGUACCGUUCGAAUAGGGCGGUACCUUGACGGUACCUAACCAG